rnacentral:rRNA from 1 species
GACGAACGCUGGCGGCGUGCUUAGCACAUGCAAGUCGAACGGGCCUUGUCCCCUUUUUUUUGGGGGUGGGGUUAGUGGCGAACGGGUGAGUAACACGUGAGUAACCUGCCCCUCACUUCUGGAUAACCGCUUGAAAGGGUGGCUAAUACGGGGUGUUCUGGCCUGCUCGCAUGGGUGGGUUUGGAAAGAUUCGACCGGUUUUGGUUGUUUUGGUGGGGGAUGGGCUCGCGGCCUAUCAGCUUGUUGGUGGGGUGUUGGCCUGCCAAGGCUUUGACGGGUAGCCGGCCUGAGGGGGUGGGCGGUCACACUGGGACUGAGACGCGGCCCAGACUCCUGCGGGAGGCAGCAGUGGGGAAUAUUGCACAAUGGGCGCGAGCCUGAUGCAGCGACGCCGCGUGAGGGAUGGAGGCCUGCGGGUUGUGAACCUCUUUCGCCAGUGAAGAAGGUCCUGCUCUUUGUGGUGGGGUUGACGGUAGCUGGGUUGAUGAAGCGCCGGCUAACUACGUG